CCUCAUCCUGGGGAGCACAGCGCUGUGUGCAGACGUGCCUUGGGCAUGGCAAGAAGGAGCUGGGAUGCCAGGGGUGCUGGUACCCUGCUCUUGCUGAGCUGGCUUGCAGGUGCCAGCGAGAUAGAGACGGAGACCUGCAGCUCCCCAGGUGACUUUCCCCCACCAGCACUCUUCUCAAACAGCUCUUCAGCUCAGGAAGGCGACUUGGUUCUGGCACGCUGCCUUGUUUUUUCCCACUUCCCCGUUGCCCGCAUCUUCUUCUGCAAGAACGGGGUGGAGCUGGCAAACCACCCAGUUGGGAAAGGGCAGUUCACCUCCACGCUCACCUUCCGGCUCUCACCAGAGAGCAGCGGCACCUACUCCUGCGGGUACCUGCGCCUGAGCAGCCUCGGACAGGUCAAGCUUUCGAGGCUGAGUGUCCCGUGGCUCCUGAGUGCUGGAGGCAGGAAGGAUGCUCCAAGGAAUGACAGCGUUGCCCUGAGCCCGGAGCUGGCAGCUGAAGGGCUGGGAGUCUCAGGCAGCCUGGCCUUUGUGGUUCUCUCUUUCCUGACUCUGGCUCUUGUGGUCCAUCUCCUGCUGCAGAUAGGAAAGCGAGUCCAGCUGGCCAAGUUAAAGGCUUUCAUCUCCUGCUAGAAGGUCACAACACCUCACAAACACUGUGAAGGAAGAAAAGUCCAGGAGCCUUUUGCAGUCCUGCUGCUGGACCAGAGAAACGCAUUGGGGUGCUGAGGACUGCUGCACAGGCCACUCUGAUAUCUGCAGUGCCCCACAGCCAUGUCAGGGGUAAUUGGCCCAGGAUGAUAUGCCUUGGGUCAGUGCCACGUGCACUGUGUAGGCAAUUGCCGAAAGCACCACCUCAGCCUUUGCAGUGUCCUGAGCACCCAGCUGCUCCAUCUGCAGCCCCAGAGACACAGCACUCAGCCACAAAAUGCAGCUCUACUGCCAGAGCCAGCAGAGUUUGCUCCAGGCUCCUGGGAGCAGCUGUGAACAUUGCGGUGGCUCAGGAGCAAGAAGGUGCAUUCAUUAAAAAGGUGCUUCACCCUCUGAUUCUUGGUCCUUUUUAGUGGUCUCUGAAAGGCUAGGAGCUGAGAUCCUCCACCAGAUGCAGCUAGGAGCCAGAGUCCUAGGGGAGUCUCAGCUGUAGAGCUUGCCUCAGACAGGCACGGUUGGAGCCCAUAAAGAUGUAAGGGCUGGACUGCAUUUCGCAAAGGCACAGCCAGCACAAAGAACCGCUUGCCAGCAGCACCCAAGAGAGGAAGAGGCUACACCUGGCAGGACUCUCCAUCAGAGCCAUUUUGCACACUGUUCACCAAACACCUGAUGCAACAGACCCAUUCAACAGGGACAAAGGGUGAAGGGAAAGGGGAGAAGCUGGGUUUGCUCCAUAUCGCCCUGCCCCUAAUACCACUCUCCGAAGGGAGGAAAGUGGGGGGGUGUCAGGUCAUCGGACAUGGUGAUGGAGACAUCUCCGCCUCACUCUGCUCUUUCCCCCUUUCAGCUGCAUUGAACCCUUCAGACAAUAACUGUUGGGGGAU
ensembl:lncRNA